GAUUAGAUUAGAGUAGUGACUAGUGAGAUUAAUUCACUUUUGCUUGUUAUUCUGAAACUCAAACUUGCUAAUAACAAUUUACAAUGACACAUUGUUCUCAAAACUUUUCAACAACUCCAGAAUCGUAGUUCCUUUUACUCCAAUUUUAUACCUCAUUCCUUCCAAAAAAUAGAAAGAAAGAAAUAGCUUAAUGCAUGCAUUGAUUUGAUUUGAUUUGUAGCAGAGGAUGAUAGCUACGUCUACGAGGAUCUGAUUAUAUUUGAUUGAUGCGUUGUUCAUCGUUCACUCAUUCAUCAUCUUCAAUUCAACACGAGAAUGUUACCAUUUUGCUCAGCUACACCCUGCUAUUCCCCAUCUUCCCAGAUUCCCUUAUUUGGUGGACUACAAUCUCUGUGUCCAAUUCGAAAGGAUUUUGAGACUAGAUGUGUGGUAGAAGAAAGUGUAUAUCUAGGUUUGCAUUAUGGAACAUCUUCAUUCAGAAAUUCAUUUACAGCACAAGCUACAAAGAGUAUCAUAUCGUGGGGUUAUUCGCCAAUGAAAGCAGAUGGGGAUUAUUUACUUGGUAAUGGAGAAUUUAGAUAUAGUUUAUCGACUGUGCCGGAGGAAUUAGUAGACUUUGCAGGACAGUCAAUUGAAGGAUCUGAUGCAUUAGUAGCACCUGCACAACCGGAGGCUCUAUUUUUUAGUACUGAUGUAACGUCGGGGAAGUUUGAAUCAACGAGUAGUUUGGUUGAAGGGGGUAAUGAAUCGUCUACAAAAGCAAGUGUUGGUGACCUGUUUUCUGGAAUCAAUGAGUCAUUUAAUGUUUCUAUUAGUAAGGGAGAAACUGCUUUACGAAGCUCGCUGGAUACAGCCACUUCUUUCAUCGAUUCCGUUGUUAAAAAUGCUACUACAUCGGCAGAUAAUGCUUUUAGUAAGGCAUUUUCUGCUGUUGAUCAAACGAGUGAAUUGGCGAAUAAGAAAAUUACUAGCUUUUCAAGUGAGGUAAGUGGAGUCACAAAUAAGGCACCUGCUUUGGCUAGUGAUGUGUUGCGCCGCACAAUCGUUGCGGUAGAGAGUUCUUUAUCAACUGGGGCUUCCUAUGUUGUUUACCUUUAUGGAUCAGCCAAGGAGUUCCUUCCUGCAGAGAUUAGGGAUUCAGUCAAUGUGUAUGAAGAUAAAGCAACACAAAUCUUAAGGCCUGUUGGGUCUGCAGCUCAACAGAUUUACACGACUUUCUAUUCGUUGGAGAAGAGUCUUGGCUUGGAUCCAAAUGAUCCAAUUAUUCCAUUUAUUGUUUUUGUGGGCUCUUCAGCAACAUUAUGGGCUGUUUAUUGGUUGUGGACUUAUGGAGGUUACUCAGGAGAUUUAUCCCCUGAAUCAGCUUUCGAGCUCUUGGCCGGGGACUCAAAUGCUGUACUUAUAGAUGUCCGCACUGAGGACUUGCGAGAAAAAGACGGUGUUCCUGAUCUUCGAAGGGCUACUCGGUUUCGCUAUGCAAGUGUAGCUCCAAUUGAGGUUGAUGGCUCCAUACGCAAGUUGUUGAAGGGUGGUAGAGACCUAGAUGACUCAUUGAUUGCUGCUGUUAUUCGAAAUAUGAAAAUUGUUAAGGACAGUUCCAAGGUUAUUGUGUUGGAUGCUGAUGGUACUCGUUCUAAAGGCAUUGCAAGAUCCUUGAAGAAAAUUGGUGUCAAGAAUCCAUAUUUGGUCCAAGGUGGCUUUCAAUCUUGGGUGAAACAAAGUCUCCGUAUCAAGGAACUAAAACCUGAAACAGCACUUACCAUACUCAAUGAGGAAGCUGAAGCAAUUCUAGAAAAUGUUAGACCUUCUCCUGGGCAACUUUUAGGUUAUGGUACGGCACUACUUGCGGGGUCAUAUGCAUUAGCAGCAAAAUCAAUACCGUGUCAGAGUGGGAGACGACAUUACAGUUAAUUGGUGUUUUUGGCCUCAGUUUGACGAUAUAUCUGCGGUUUUCUUCAUAUGAAAAGUCAGAAGAUUUGAAGCAAGAUGUGAAGUUAUUGCUUGCUCCUGUUAAACUUGGAACUCAAGCAUUUUCAUGGGCUGCUGGAAAAUUGGAAUCAAAUGGCAUAGGAUUACCUACAUCACCUUCAUCAUUAGAUGUUCAAAACCGGGUAUUACAAGCUGCUGCAAAACAUGAAUCUCAACCAUCUGAUAUUGAAGGUAACAAAGACUCAAUUUCUGAAUCCACGGCUACUCUCAAUUAAAAUGGAUGAGAUUGUUCCAGAUUGUCAUGUGCUAACAUGGAAAGAAGAACAGAGUUUAGUAUGGUGACACCAAGUUAACUCACAUGAGAUGAAGUUUGCAAGUUGACAUUAACCAACCUUUUCCAAACACUAUGCAGUCAACACAAGGAUGAUUGUAUUUGAUUAUUUUUAAGCCACAAGUUGCAAGAAUGCCACAGGUGCUUAGCACAAUUUCCACCAUCAAAAUAAUAAGUGUAAUUGUUAAAUAAAUUAUUAUUUGCAUGAUGCAAAUUGUACUUAAAAUUUGUGGUGGUGUAACUUGUAGUUUUGUAAACUAUAUCCUUCACCACAUAUGCUUAGGUCUUUUACAAUCCGUUUAGGAUCACACUGCCAACAUCUUGCGUGCAAAUGGAAGUUGUUAAUGGAAAAUGGGUUAGAAAUAGAAUGCUUAAACAAGCACUCAUCACCUUUUCUUCACUGCAAAAUAGAAAUGCAAACUUCUUUUGCCCA